GUCACUCUGUCUCUCUGUCUGUUUUCCUCUCUGACUGUCUGCCUCUCUGUCUGUCCCUCUGUCUAUCUGUCCCUCUGAUUACUGUAGUAAAGUUACAGUAGUGAGUGUAGUAGUGAGGACUGUAGUGAGUAUAUUAGUAAGGCCUGUAGUGAGUAUAUUAGUGAGGUUGUAGUAGUGAGGACUGUAGUGAGUAUAUUAGUAAGGUUGUAGUGGUGAGGACUGUAGUGAGUAUAUUACUGAGGACUGUAGUGAGUAUAUUAGUGAGGUUGUAGUGGUGAGGACUGUAGUGAGUAUAUUAGUGAAGUUGUAGUGGUGAGGACUCUAGUGAGUAUAUUAGUGAGGUUGUAGUGGUGAGGACUGUAGUGAGUAUAUUAGUAAGGUUGUAGUAGUGAGGACUGUAGUGAGUAUAUUAUUGAGGUUGUAGUAGUGAGGACUGUAGUGAGUAUAUUAGUGAGGUUGUAGUGGUGAGGACUGUAGUGAGUAUAUUAGUGAGGUUGUAGUGGUGAGGACUGUAGUGAGUAUAUUAGUGAGGUUGUAGUGGUGAGGACUGUAGUGAGUAUAUUAUUGAGGUUGUAGUGGUGAGGACGGUGGUGAGUAUAUUAGUGAGGUUGUAGUGGUGAGGACUGUAGUGAGUAUAUUAGUGAGGUUGUAGUAGUGAGGACUAGUGAGUAUAUUAGUGAGGUUGUAAUAGUGAGGACUGUAGUGAGUAUAUUAGUAAGGUUGUAGUGGUGAGGACUGUAGUAAGUAUAUUAGUAAGGUUGUAGUGGUGAGGACUGUAGUGAGUAUAUUAGUAAGGUUGUAGUGGUGAGGACUGUAGUGAGUAUAUUAGUGAGGUUGUAGUAGUGAGGACUGUAGUGAGUUGAGGUGAUAGUAGUGAAGACUGUAGUGAGUAUAUUACUGAGGACUGUAGUGAGUAUAUUAGUGAGGUUGUAGUAGUGAGGACUGUAGUGAGUUGAGGUGAUAGUAGUGAAGACUGUAGUGAGUUGAGGUGAUAGUAGUGAAGACUGUAGUGAGUUGAGGUGAUAGUAGUGAAGACUGUAGUGAGUAUAUUAGUGAGGUGAUAGUAGUGAAGACUGUAGUGAGUUGAGGUGAUAGUAGUGAAGACUGUAGUGAGUUGAGGUGAUAGUAGUGAAGACUGUAGUGAGUAUAUUACUGAGGACUGUAGUGAGUAUAUUAGUGAGGUUGUAGUAGUGAGGACUGUAGUGAGUUGAGGUGAUAGUAGUGAAGACUGUAGUGAGUUGAGGUGAUAGUAGUGAAGACUGUAGUGAGUUGAGGUGAUAGUAGUGAAGACUGUAGUGAGUAUAUUAGUGAGGUGAUAGUAGUGAAGACUGUAGUGAGUUGAGGUGAUAGUAGUGAAGACUGUAGUGAGUUGAGGUGAUAGUAGUGAAGACUGUAGUGAGUAUAUUACUGAGGACUGUAGUGAGUAUAUUAGUGAGGUUGUAGUAGUGAGGACUGUAGUGAGUUGAGGUGAUAGUAGUGAAGACUGUAGUGAGUUGAGGUGAUAGUAGUGAAGACUGUAGUGAGUUGAGGUGAUAGUAGUGAAGACUGUAGUGAGUAUAUUAGUGAGGUGAUAGUAGUGAAGACUGUAGUGAGUUGAGGUGAUAGUAGUGAAGACUGUAGUGAGUUGAGGUGAUAGUAGUGAAGACUGUAGUGAGUUGAGGUGAUAGUAGUGAAGACUGUAGUGACAAAAGAGAUUUAUCAGUUUGAGUGCUAUAAAUAAUCAUCUUUAAAUACCCACACACUGAGGGGUGAGGCAGAGAGAGAGAGUGUGUGUGUGUGUAUGUGUGUAAUAUGAUACUUCAUAGUACUUUUUUGUGUUAAUCUUUGACACACACUGUGAGAAAUCUGACCCUGGGGUAAAGCUUUUGCUUUUGAUCCUUGACCUGGAAAAUCUGUUUUUAUCCACAGACACAUUGUAGAGAUUUAUUUAAAGUUAUGUGCCAUAGAGCAUUUUAAAGCAUAAUGGAGCAUUAUAGAGUAUCUUAAAGUGUUGUAAAUUGUUUUAAAGUGUAACAGAGCGUUAUAGAGCAUUAUUAAGAAGAAUAGAAAGUUAUGGAGAGUAACAUUAUGUAGAAUUAUAGAGCAUUACUGAGAGUUAUAGAUCAUUAUAGUGUGUUAUACAGCAUGUUUUAGAGAGUUGUAGAUCAUUAUUGAUGGUUAUGCAGCACUAUAGAACACUAUAGAUCAGAUUAUAGAGUGUUAUAUAGCAUUAUAGAUAGUUAUAGAUCAUUAUGGAGUGCUAUAGAGCAUGAGACCAGAGACACAAAAUGCAGUUCACUUUCAUUCUUUGCUUUUUAGUUUAAUUUAGUUGAUCUUUAUACAGCUUUAUUUUUUUACCUUUUUUUUUUUUUAGUGCAGCUUCACACAAACUUGGAUUUAGAUCAAGAUAAUAAACAGAUAUUACUGCAUCUGUCUGUCUUUCUGUCUCUC